rnacentral:lncRNA from 1 species
AACUAACAACUUAACUUAACUUAACUUAACUUAACUUAACUUAACUUAACUUAACUUAACUUAACUUAACUAACUUAACUUAACUUAAACUAAGCGUAAUAGUGGUGUGAUGCUUACAAGCUGACGUUGAGCUCCAAUGAGCACAGGAGAGUGCCCUCAAACAAGUGGAUUUUGCUUGUUAGUGCCCCAUAUACCCCGCCAGCCACUCGAUUCCCUCACCGUUCAUUCAAGGUGGCCACCGAGGCUGACUUUCAAGGUAGCCGCCGAGGCUGACCUUCAGCGUAGCCGCCGAGGCUGACCUUCAAGGUGGCCGCCGAGGCUGACCUUCAAGGUGGCUGCCGAGGCUGACCUUCAAGGUAGCCGCCGAGGCUGACCUUCAAGGUGGCCGCCGAGGCUGACCUUCAAGGUGGCCGCCGAGGCUGACCUUCAAGGUGGCCGCCGAGGCUGACCUUCAAGGUGGCCGCCGAGGCUGACCUUCAAGGUAGCCGCCGAGGCUGACCUUCAAGGUGAUAGCCGAGGCUGACCUUCAAGGUGAUAGCCGAGGGUGACCUUCAAGGUGGCCGCCGAGACUGACCUUCAAGGUGGCCGCCGAGGCUGACCUUCAAGGUUGGCGCCGAGGGUGACCUUCAAGGUGAUAGCCGAGGGUGACCAUCCUCACUGACGCUCCGAGACACAGGGAGAAGAGAACUCGUGACCUUUUUAACCAUGCCAGGGAGGAACCAAACCAGAAACACAUUAAUAUCUCCUCCAUCAGUACCGUAUUAACCAAUCAAUACCCCGUGUGCACGGCGCCUCACCAUCACAUAUUAGCCCCUAAAACAUCUAGUCUGAGUUAGUGUAUCCGGCAGACAUUAAGAAUAACGGUCUUCACCAUUUACGUCUUAGAAGAAUAUAUGAACCUUACUGGUAAAAAGAUUAAGUACGUACUGGUGUGGUCACCCGAGUGAAUGAGUUUACAGAAUCAGUACACACACACACACACACACACACACACACACAC